GCCGAGGUUCGCGAUGAGGCGGCCGCGGGGAGCAGCCGGAGGAGUUUGUUCGCCGCCUGGCCCCGGCUCCCUGAUGCUCUGAGCCGGAGUCUGUCUCCUCCUCUCCCCGGGCUCGCACCCGGGCUGGAUGCUCCCGCUCGCUCCUCGCCUCGCCGCUCCGCUCGCCAGCCGCCUCCUCGCCAGCUAUGGAGCCGUCCGCAGCCUCCCUGGACAGCACCCCGGACCCCGCCAUCGUGCAGCCCCCCGGGAGCAGCCCGUCGCUGCCCCCCCGGGAGCAGCAGCAGCAGCAGCACCAGCAGGAGCAGCUGCGGAUCGGGGAGAGCGGGCAGUUCAGCGAGGGGCUGGAGGACCGAGGUUUACUAGAAAGCAGUACAAGGCUAAAACCUCAUGAAGCUCAAAGCUACAGAAAGAAGGCAUUGUGGGUUUCCUGGGUCUCCAUUAUUGUCACACUGGCUCUUGCAGUGGCUGCUUUCACUGUCUCCGUAAUGAGAUACAGUGCAUCAUCAUUUGGAUUUGCUUUUGAUGCUACCCUGGAUGUUUUGUCAUCAGCGAUAGUUUUGUGGCGUUACAGCAACGCAGCUGCUGUACAUUCUGCACACAGGGAGUACAUAGCUUGUGUUAUCUUGGGUGUCAUAUUCCUCCUAUCAUCUAUAUGUAUUGUGAUCAAAGCCAUCCACGAUCUAGCGAAGAAGGUGCUUCCAGAAGUGGAUGAUUUUCUGUAUAGCGUCUCCGUUUUAAGUGGCAUCCUUUGCACUGUUUUGGCAGUAAUCAAAUUUAUGCUGGGAAAGGUCCUUACAAGCAGAGCGCUGAUAACUGACGGUUUCAACUCUCUUGUAGGUGGAAUAAUGGGAUUUUCCAUCCUUCUUAGCGCAGAAGUUUUUAAACACAAUUCUUCUGUCUGGUUUCUGGAUGGCAGUAUAGGAGUUUUAAUUGGACUAACAAUAUUUGCCUAUGGGAUCAAGCUGCUCAUUGACAUGGUACCCCGCGUAAGGCAAACGCGCCACUACGAAAUGUUUGAGUGAAGAUCACACCCUCUUCUUUGUAAGGACUGUAGACCUACAGCAUCAUGCAUUUUGGUUGGCUUUCACAACACAGAGACAGUAUUGUUGCUUCUGUUUAUCAAAGGUGGAUAAAAAAUAGCAGAAAGUCCACUGUAGAGGUUGAAAUAGGACUACGGUAAGUAGCCAAGUAGCUAGAAAUUCCCAUUUCUAGCUACUCUACAAUAGGUUAUGUAAAUGACAGUAGACCUACAAUUAGUAGUUCAGUGUCUGUUUAGUGACUGAAGUAAAGUGGGGACUCUGUUUACUGGCACCUUGUGUUAUCUAAAACCGUUAUUUCCCAUCAUAUGUCACUUAGCAAGUCCUUAGCCAGGUUCUCAAGGAUCUUUAUUAAAAGCAAACGCCAAAUGAUACGUGUAGGGAGAGACCCCCGAGGUUUCACUGACCUGACAGUGCCUACAUAAGGUGUGCAGCGCUGGGAAGGUGACACUCCCUUCCUUUUGAAACACAACAGAAAAUGCUUUACUGCAAAAUGAAUUUGUUUUGCUGCUAUAGCUGGUUUACAUGUAUCUUGGAUCGAUCAAGUUUGUAUAAAUGCUUGUAAACAAACUUUAUACUAUUGUUAGUACCAGUAUUCUGGUGCUGCUUAUGCCCGGCUGUCACUGGGUGAUGUUAGACAUCAUCACGUGUCACUCAGUGUAAGCGGGAAGUACAACACUUGACAGGACAGAGGAGGUCCUUUAUAAAUGCAUUCAGCAAGAGCUCCAGAAGGACCUAGUGUAGAGGAUUUGUCACUGUACAAAAGGUGGACUUCUAAAUGGCACAUACCAAAGGCCUUUCUUCAUGCACAAGGUCUUAAUUUGUUAUGCUUUUGCUUAGUCCUGAUGUUUUCCCAUUGUGUUUCUUCUCUAACUCCAAGUUGCCUGAAGAGAGCCAUGAAACGGGUACUUCCCUGCUGAUGAACUCGCUUGUGUCAAGCAUCUUCAGCAUCAGUAUCACAGACCCAUAGCCUGAACAUACCUGUAUUACACAUUUUGUGUGUUGUGUUUUUUUUUUUUUUUUUAGUUCUAUCUGCACUGUUUACCCUUUUCCACCUCUCCAGGGGCUUUGUUACUUCUCCAGUCCCACUGCUAGUCACUAGAACGACACUUGGGAACUACUAACAGUGCUGCCCCACAGGGCUGUGCACUACAGCAGCUGGUUUCUAGCAGAGCCCAGCGCCAACUGCUUCAGAAGAGAAGCAAGAAGGUAAAAUUGGUUGUGGCAAGAUACUUAACUCAUAUAAGCUUGGCAACAUGGUCCUAGACCAUUGAAAGCAUGUAGGACAUUCAAACUAGUGUCCAGCACAAAUGUUAAUGUUUUUUUUAUUAAAAUGCUGAGCACAGGACGAUGCAGCUGUGUUCCCGCAUGAAGCAAAGGUAAAGGCUGAGUAAAUGAAGUUUCACGCCUCUUACUUAGAGGAUGUUUUGUAAGUACAGACUCCAGCUACAUAGCCUUGGAAAAGGUGAGGUUAAACAACUUCAUCUUUUUUCUUACCAGAUUAACUUUACCGUGAGGGUGGGCAGACGGUGACACAGGCUUCUUAGUGAGGUUAAUGUCCCAAAGCAGCCAGUGGUCAGGAGGCAUCUGGGUAAUGCCCUCAGUAACAUGCUUUUGGUGAGAAAGUGGUCAGGCAGUUGGACUCGAGGCUCUUUGAAAGUCCCUUCUAACUAUCCUAUCCUAUCCUAUCCUAUCCUAUCCUAUCCUAUCCACAACUGCAGAAACUUUUCAGGUGCUUCAAAGCACUUCUGAUAUUAGCAGGUAAAUACAAGAAAAUAACUGAAACACUUCUGUGACUUCAAAGGAAAAAGAGCAGGAAAUAGCAAUACUCAGAGAUAAGAACAAAUACAUGCUGAUGAAGCCAGCUAGUAUCAAACCCACUUCUUUUGGUACAUUACGUAAGGAACAACAAUCACUGCUCCUCCAGUUUACUGAAAUGUCCUGACCUAGCUGGGCACCUGAAGGUAACACUUUCUGUAUUAGUUUUCUUUAGUAAAUGUCUGCACCAGUUGUUUUCUUGCUAAUGAUAUAACAAGUGCUCAGCUGUGCUAACUGAAGGUGGACUUUUCAAAAGCUGAGGUAGCUCAGGACGAAUCACCUGGACCUCGGCACUGCCCAACAUAGUAUUUCACUUGGUGAUCACAAGCUGCAGAAGCUUGUCAGCACUUCCAGAUGCUCUCUGUUGUGCAAAGGACGUGAGGAAGACGGUUGCGUUCAGACAAAACACAGCGCUGGCCAGUACAGGGAGUGCAAACUGAUGCUCACUAAAGCCUGCCCAAAC